rnacentral:rRNA from 1 species
GACGUAGGGCGCGAGCGUUGUCCGGAUUUAUUGGGCGUAAAGAGCUCGUAGGCGGCUUGUUGCGUCGGCUGUGAAAACCCAUGGCUCAACCGUGGGCUUGCAGCCGAUACGGGCAGGCUAGAGUUCGGUAGGGGAGACUGGAAUUCCUGGUGUAGCGGUGAAAUGCGCAGAUAUCAGGAGGAACACCGGUGGCGAAGGCGGUUCUCUGGGCCUUACCUGACGCUGAGGAGCGAAAGCGUGGGGAGCGAACAGG